ACACGACUACAUUAGAUACCCCUGUAGUCCAGGGUGUAAACGCUGCGGGCUUGGUGUUGGGGGGUCCUUUGAGGGCGCCCAGUGCCGGAGAGAAGUUGUUAAGCCUGCUGCUUGGGGAGUACGUCCGCAAGGAUGAGACUUAAAGGAAUUGGCGGGGAGCACCGCAACGGGAGGAGCGUGCGGUUCAAUUGGAUUCAACGCCGGACAACUCACCAGGAGCGACGGUUACAUGAAGGCCAGGCUGAUGACCUUGCCUGAUUUCCG
rnacentral:rRNA from 1 species